UCGGGAAUUUUGGGCAAUGGGGGAAACCCUGACCCAGCAACGCCGCGUGAAGGAUGAAGUAUUUCGGUAUGUAAACUUCGAAAGAAUAGGAAGAAUAAAUGACGGUACUAUUUAUAAGGUCCGGCUAACUACGUGCCAGCAGCCGCGGUAAUACGUAGGGACCAAGCGUUGUUCGGAUUUACUGGGCGUAAAGGGCUCGUAGGCUGCCAACUAAGUCAGACGUGAAAUCCCUCGGCUUAACCGGGGAACUGCGUCUGAUACUGGAUGGCUUGAGAUUGGGAGAGGGAUGCGGAAUUCCAGGUGUAGCGGUGAAAUGCGUAGAUAUCUGGAGGAACACCGGUGGCGAAGGCGGCAUCCUGGACCAACACUGACGCUGAGGCGCGAAAGCCAGGGGAGCAAGCGGGAUUAGAUACCCAAGUAGUCCCUGAGCGGGCUGGCAAGGCGCAU
rnacentral:rRNA from 1 species